AAUGUUUACGUUUUUUGAUAGAAAGUAGCAAAGAUAGCAUUGAAGAAAGCCCUUUGAUAAAGAAAAUAAGAAGUCUGACCGAAAAGCACCCUGAUUUGGAGGAUUUUAAGAUUCGGGUUUGGGCUAAAAUGUUGGAAAAAAGCYAGGAAAAGCAAAGGCGAAUGCAUCCAACAACGCUACCACUACACCGUCUACGUCUAGUACUGUUAUUUCUAGUUCUGAUAACGAUAAGACAGAAAAGCGAACAGCAGUGAUUAAACAAUUAAAAGACUUGAAGGAUUUGAAAGACGACGGGAUUCUCACUGUAGAGCAGUUUGGUAGCCUGAGAAAUAAGCUUGUUGCAGAGUUGUCAGAAUUAGUAUAAUUCAGUACUAUUAACUCGUGGAUAUUCCGACUAGUUUUGUUAUCUAUUAUAAUUAUGCUUAUGCAUCUAAUUCACUUUAAGUGACAGUGUAAUAUCUUCACAAACUACAAAAGUAAAUUUACAGUUUGAUUUGAUUUGAAUAAAAAAAAAAGAAACAAAAGGGAACUUUGUAAAUCACACUAAAUAUAAUUGCCAUGUCGAAUGCAAUUAAUAACGUCUUGGACAGAGACGUUCAAAAAGGCUUGUAGAACCAUUAUGAUUAUGAUUAUGAUUAUCUAUCAAACGCCAUAUCACAUCAUUGCUUGCUAUCCAACUUUUAGUUUGUGAAAAGAUAUUUUCACAAGGGUUGAAGUCGGGACUGUAUGGUGGUAAAAAUACAACGAGUGCACCAGUGRCAUUGAUUGCAUCAAGAACUGCCCUUGUAUGGUGAAUAGCUGCAUUGUCUAAAAGCAAAGGAAAAGUUAAUUGCUAUACGCCAGUAGUAUAAUAAUCUAUAAUUAAAUAACAUGUUUAUGAUCGAUCGAAAUAAAGGUACUUUGGAACACUUKAGAGGGACGUUUUUACUGAAACCAUUAACAAUUUUUGUUUUGGAAAACGAUCCCGCGAUCAUGUGGCUUCAUUAAAUUAUUCUGUAAUUCACUGAACAAUAAAAUUAAAGUAGUAUGGAAAUCAUGUUUAUAUUUACUGGAGUACUAGCCUAAGAGUCCUGCUACUUUGGUACGUACCCAUUAUAACAACAGACCUAGGAUUAACACCAUCAAAUGGUAACAAGUUCGGUGCAAGAACAUCGGUAACAAAAUCUAAAAAUGUGACUUCAUUUACAUKACCACGAUAGAGUCCGACAUCCAUCAACCCAUCUGUUGAAAUGACUGGAAUGGCAGUUAUUCGUGGCCCCCAAUUUCGAUGUGGUCGCACAACUUCUGCUCUGGUUCCAUGAAAGCUGUACCCAUAUUUUCUGCAAAUCCUUUUAUCCUAUUUUGAAAAAUGCUAAAAUAAUUUUCCAAGCUAAUGCUAAAAAUACUUUUUUUCGAGAAAAAAAUACAUACAAAUCCAGAUUCAUCCAAAAAUACAAGCAUCUCUGGAGGAAACAGUAAUAUAUUGCUCCAAUACUGCGCACGUAGAUCGUCAUUUCUUUGAAGUGCAAUUUUUUGAACCUAUGAAUAAAAUGAAAAUUUACUGUAAAUUUUGUCAAUUGCUKAACAAUUCAUAAAAAGCAUGAUUUUACGUUCACCUUUUUGUGCGUAAUUCCACUCCUGAAUAAAUAAUAAUGUAUAGUCGAGAGAGCGAAAGUAGAGUUCGUUUGACGGUAAAUCUCAUCUGCUAUUUCAGCAAGAGUUUUGUCAGGAUUGCUCAAGACGGCUUCGAAAAUUAUUAAUUCUUCUUGUGGCGCAAAGUGAAUGCUACCACGAGAACGGCCUAUAGUCUUUGGCUCUACACCGCCAGUAGUCAGGUAUUUCGAAAUKUAUCUCUCAACUGUCCUUUCUGAGACACCCAAGUAAAAUGAGGCCUCAGACACGGAAUGCUGCAGAAAGUGUACAAACCAAAUAAUCCUCCAACGAAGGUCGUUGCUAUAUGGAGCUGGCAUUAUUGAUAUGAGCCAAUUCACGAUUUUACAAAUAGCUACGCGCGUCGUGAUAAAAAAUUCAAUAACAAAGAGAGCAAUGAAGGAAAUGAUUAUUCUUUUAUUUAC